rnacentral:rRNA from 1 species
AUACGGAGGGUGCAAGCGUUAUCCGGAAUCAUUGGGUUUAAAGGGUCCGUAGGCGGGCGAUUAAGUCAGAGGUGAAAUCCCACAGCUCAACUGUGGAACUGCCUUUGAUACUGGUUGUCUUGAGUUAUAGUGAAGUAGAUAGAAUGUGUAGUGUAGCGGUGAAAUGCAUAGAUAUUACACAGAAUACCGAUUGCGAAGGCAGUCUACUAACUAUUGACUGACGCUAAUGGACGAAAGCGUGGGGAGCGAACAGGAUUAGAAACCCUAGUAGUCC